UAUACAGCGAAACUGCGAAUGGCUCAUUAUAUAAGUUAUCGUUUAUUUGAUAGUGCCUUACUACUUGGAUAACCGUGGUAAUUCUAGAGCUAAUACAUGCUAAAAACCCCGACUUCGGAAGGGGUGUAUUUAUUAGAUACAAAACCAAUGCCCUUCGGGGCUCUUUUGUGAUUCAUGAUAACUAUACGAAUCGCACGGCCUUGCGCCGGCGAUGGUUCAUUCAAAUUUCUUCCCUAUCAACUUUCGAUGUUUGGGUAUUGGCCAAACAUGGUUGCAACGGGUAACGGAGGGUUAGGGCUCGACCCCGGAGAAGGAGCCUGAGAAACGGCUACUACAUCCAAGGAAGGCAGCAGGCGCGCAAAUUACCCAAUCCCGACUCGGGGAGGUAGUGACGAUAAAUACUGAUACAGGGCCCUUUCGGGCCUUGUAAUUGGAAUGAGUACAAUUUAAACCCCUUAACGAGGAACAAUUGGAGGGCAAGUCUGGUGCCAGCAGCCGCGGUAAUUCCAGCUCCAAUAGCGUAUAU
rnacentral:rRNA from 1 species